GCUAUAAUGCAGUCGAGCGAAUGGAUUGAGAGCUUGCUCUCAUGAAGUUAGCGGCGGACGGGUGAGUAACACGUGGGUAACCUGCCCAUAAGACUGGGAUAACUCCGGGAAACCGGGGCUAAUACCGGAUAACAUUUUGAACUGCAUGGUUCGAAAUUGAAAGGCGGCUUCGGCUGUCACUUAUGGAUGGACCCGCGUCGCAUUAGCUAGUUGGUGAGGUAACGGCUCACCAAGGCAACGAUGCGUAGCCGACCUGAGAGGGUGAUCGGCCACACUGGGACUGAGACACGGCCCAGACUCCUACGGGAGGCAGCAGUAGGGAAUCUUCCGCAAUGGACGAAAGUCUGACGGAGCAACGCCGCGUGAGUGAUGAAGGCUUUCGGGUCGUAAAACUCUGUUGUUAGGGAAGAACAAGUGCUAGUUGAAUAAGCUGGCACCUUGACGGUACCUAACCAGAAAGCCACGGCUAACUACGUGCCAGCAGCCGCGGUAAUACGUAGGUGGCAAGCGUUAUCCGGAAUUAUUGGGCGUAAAGCGCGCGCAGGUGGUUUCUUAAGUCUGAUGUGAAAGCCCACGGCUCAACCGUGGAGGGUCAUUGGAAACUGGGAGACUUGAGUGCAGAAGAGGAAAGUGGAAUUCCAUGUGUAGCGGUGAAAUGCGUAGAGAUAU
rnacentral:rRNA from 1 species